UAGGGAAUAUUGGACAAUGGGUGAGAGCCUGAUCCAGCCAUGCCGCGUGCAGGAUGAAGGCCUUCGGGUUGUAAACCGCUGUCGUAGGGGAGAAAGGGUCGUUGAAGAAACGACUUUGAUCUAUCCUAGGAGGAAGUCCGGGCUAAGUUCGUGCCAGCAGCCGCGGUAACACGAACCGGACAAACGUUAUUCGGAAUUACUGGGCUUAAAGGGUGCGUAGGCGGUGCGGUAAGUGCGGUGUGAAAUCCCACGGCUCAACCGUGGAAUUGCGCUGCAUACUGCCGUGCUAGAGGGAGACAGGGGUAAGCGGAACUGAUGGUGGAGCGGUGAAAUGCGUUGAUAUCAUCAGGAACACCGGUGGCGAAGGCGUCUACCUGGCCUAAUACUGACACUGAGGCACGAAAGCGUGGGGAGCAAACAGGAUUAGAUACCCCUGUAGUCCCUGAGCGGGCUGGCAAGGCGCAU
rnacentral:rRNA from 1 species